rnacentral:rRNA from 1 species
AGCGAACGCUGGCGGCAGGCCUAACACAUGCAAGUCGAACGAACUCUUCGGAGUUAGUGGCGGACGGGUGAGUAACACGUGGGAACGUGCCUUUUGGUUCGGAAUAACUCAGGGAAACUUGUGCUAAUACCGAAUGUGCUCUUCGGGGGAAAGAUUUAUCGCCAUUAGAGCGGCCCGCGUCUGAUUAGCUAGUUGGUGAGGUAACGGCGCACCAAGGCGACGAUCAGUAGCUGGUCUGAGAGGAUGACCAGCCACACUGGGACUGAGACACGGCCCAGACUCCUACGGGAGGCAGCAGUGGGGAAUCUUGCGCAAUGGGCGAAAGCCUGACGCAGCCAUGCCGCGUGAAUGAUGAAGGUCUUAGGAUUGUAAAAUUCUUUCACCGGGGACGAUAAUGACGGUACCCGGAGAAGAAGCCCCGGCUAACUUCGUG